AGUGAGAACUUGUCUCAAAAAAAGAAAAGAAAAUGUAUCCAGGAGGUAGGACCAAAAAACAUUUAAACUCUUUGUGUCCAGGAAUAGAGCAGAGACCUUGAAAAGGCAGAAUUAAGUAUAAUUGCUGUGGUCUGAAUGUUUGUGUCCCCCGCUAAUUCGUAUGUUGAAAUUCUAACCCCCAAGGUGAGGAUGGUAUUUAGAAAGCAGGCCUUUGGAGGCCUAGGGCAUGAGGGCAGAGUCCUAUGAAUCAACUAAGUGCCCUUUUAAAAGGGCCUCUGCCCCUUCCACCAAGUGAGGACACAGCAAGAAGUCAUGCUCUAUGAGAAAGCUGGCUCUCACCAGACACCAGAUCUGCUGGCACCUUGAUCUUGGACUUCUCAGACUUCAAAACUGUGAGAAAUAAGUUUCUGUUGUGUAUUAGCUACCCAGUUUACGGUAUUUUGUUGCAACAGCAUGAACAACCUAGGACAAUAAUUUUAAUGUGUAAAAUUAAAUUUAAAUGUUAAAUUAAGUUUAGCCUAAAGCUACUUCCUUACAUAUUUUAAGUUCAGCCUAAAGGUUUCUCCAUACAUAGUGAACUGUAACCUAACUGAAUGUGCAAACAGACUAUGACCUGCUCUUGUGACAAGCAGCUGAGGCUCAGCCAAUCACAGCAGCUGAGUUUCAGCCAAUCACAGGUGGCCAACUGUUUGUAUAAGGCAAACACCCAGCUGUCACCAAUCCAGCUGUUUCUGUACCUCACUUCUGUCUUUAGUCCGUCACUUUCCUUUCUCCAUAAAUGUUAUUCAACCACGUAGUAGCCCCGGGUUUGCUCUGAACCUGUUCUGGUUCUGGGGGCAGCCCAACUAUUGUAUCAUUCUCUGCUCAAACACUGUUAAAUUUAAUUUGUCUAAAGUGUUUCUUUUAACAAAGAGAAGGUGUAUUAGAUUUCCACCUAAUUUGAAAAUUUCAAAGCCAUAAUGGAGAAGCGCAGGCACUACUGGUCAUUUUUGUCCAGUAGAUGGAGCCCUAGUAGAAAGGAAACAGUCUGGCAAGUAUCAAAAUUUCUCAGAGGAAGAUUUGAACGGGGAAUUCACUGUGGAUUCCACACCCUAAGAGUCCAUUAGGCAGCCUGCCAGAGUUCUCCCCAGCCAGUCUGAGUGAGAACUCCCAGCGGAAGGACCCUGAAAUGAACUAAUAAAGUAACCAGCAGGACAAAGCAAUGUGCCAUGGAAAGAACAACAGAUUUGAUUUUAAUCCGAAUGCCAAGAGUUUGUUUUUGCAAACAUACAAAACUUUAGGAAUUAAGGUGGGUUGGAGGUGGAUUUGUGAUACUCAUUGGAUUAGAAAUAAAAGGUUAACAAGUAUAUUAAAAUUAAAGCCAUAAGGCUGUGAUUUUAUGGUGUGUAUGUAUUUGAGGGAAAGAGGAAAAAAUACAUUUAAAAGGCUUGUAAUUCCCUAAAUACCCAUGACUUAUUAAUUAUACAUGGAGUAAUUAAUAAUACAUAGAGUAAUUAUUACAAUAAUACAUGGAGUAAUUAAAAUUUCUGCAACAUUUGAUUAUCAAGAUGUGAUAUAAUUUAUUGAAUUGGAUUAUAGUUUGUGGAUGUGCUUAGCGCUCUACUACUUUUUAAAAUGCUCUCCCACACAUCAUCAUCAGAGCACAUCUCAGAGAUGGAAAUUUGUGAUUUGCCCAAGGUUAGUGGGGCAACUGAUAAAAAAAGGAUCCUGUCUUACAUACUCCCACCCUUUGUUGUAAGCUCCUGUUGGAUGCCAAGAAUCACCUGCUGCCUUAGUUCUUUGAACAGGUUUUAUGUGUUUGAUGGAAAAAGGGCACUUUUCAAGAGAGAGAAUAGCUGAGCUUUGAAGAAUGGAAUGACCAGGAUCUGAGUAGAGAGAGUGGCAGGAAGGGGAGCUGGGGCUAGGCAAGCUUGGGUUCACAGAGCUGCCCCUCUCUUAUCUACCUGGUGGAGGGGGAGUAGAGAUCAUGAUACUCCAACCCCUCUCUUCAUGAACCUGGAGUAGGGAGAGUAGAAGAGAGAGGGAACAGGGGAAUCUCAUAAGAUUGCUUGGUAGCAUAACGACCUCGGCGAAUUUAAAGUGGAACUGAGGUCCUUAGUCUUAGUCCAUUUGUGCUGCUAUAACAAAGUAUCUUACACUGGGUAAUUUAUAAACAACAGAAAUGUAUUGCUCACAGUUCUGGAGGCUGGGAAGUCCAAGAUAAAGUGCCAGCAGGUUCAAUGUCUGGUAAGGGCUCAUUGCACAGAGAUGGUACCUCUUGCUGCAUUCUCACAUGGUAGAAGGGAGCAAACAGCCUCCUUUUAAUCUCCUUUACAUUAUCCCAUUUAUGAAGGCAGUCUUCAUGACUUAAUCACUUCCCCCAAAGUCUCCACCUCCAUGCUAUGACAUUGAGGAUUAAGUUUCAGCCUAUGAUUUUGGAAAGCAUACCAACAUUCAGACCAUAGAACCAGCCAAUGAGAUUGUGGGCUAUUCUUCCACCAUACUCAAUGGGCAAAGACAUGGAGUAGGGCAGAGAGCUGGAUUUAACCAGGGUUGGAGUUUGGCCAAGUGAGUUUAAAGUACAAUUAAAAGGACAAGGGAGUUUGGGAUCUAUUCAAGAGGGUGACUAUGAUGGACCAUCCAAUUUCAGUUGGAUAAGGAAGUUGAGGACAGCAAGUCACAGUCACAGUCUGAGCCAAUUCUCAGUGGCCAGGGCUAUAGAAGGACACAGGCCAUAAGAAGAUAAGGAGGAACCUUGCACUGCUGGCCUCUGACAGCUAAAUAAUGGCUCCCAAAGAUGUGUCUACAUCCUAAUCUCCAGAAUCUGUGAAUGUUACUUUAUGUGGCAAGAGAGAGGCUGAAGGAGAUUUGGUACCAACAGAAGAGGAGGAGGAAAUUGUGAUCAUGCAGAAACUGGAGUGAUGGAGUCACAAGCCAAGGAAUGCCAGCAGCCACCAGAAGCCGAAAGAGGCCCUGCCAACACCUUGAUUUAGGCCUAAUGAAACUGAGUUUAGAUUUCUGGACCCCAGAACUGUGAAAGAAUAAAUUUCUGUUGUGUUAAGCCCCUAAUUUUGUGGUAAUGUGUCACAGCAGCCCUUGGAACCUAAUACACUCCCCAAGCCAUCACAAUGACGGUUAAGGGAAGUAAAACGAUAAAAUUCAUAAAGAUAAAGAGAAUAACAGAAAAGGAUUUCAAUAAGUGUUUGGAAGAUGGAAAAGGAAAGAAUGAGAAGCAACUUACUUAUCAGAGUAGAGAAAAUUACCUGAGAGCCUGGAGAAAGGGAAGUGAAUAAGACAGAGUCAGUUCUCCCCAGAGAAGCCAGACACAGGGUCAUUGAGCACCAAGCAGGGGCAGGAGUGGGGUGCAGGGCUGGCACUGGGGAUAGAGUGGAAACAUUAACAUGGACCUUGGAUCCCUGGGCCCUGACUCCUCUGACACUGGUCUUCCUGAACUAGCUGCAUCCCUUCUUGUCAUGCCCUCCACUCCAGUCCCUGCCCUUGACCCCACCACCACCACCUCAGCUGACACACAUCAGUUCAGCUCACACUCCUUCUGUUAGAAAGAACCAGUCACAAGGUUCUUCCUGAAUGCAAUGGGGCUGGGAAAUGCUGAGCAGUGCCAGGCACAGGCUUCCUCUAAACCACUCUGCACCAAGGAAGAAGGACAUUUUUUUGAUGGUCUAAUACCCGUCUCUGCCACACUCUCUAAGGCAAUUAAUUUUAAAAUUUUAGAAUACUGGAAAUAAAGAAAAGAUACUAAAAACUUCCAGAAUGAAAAACCAGGUCACAUAUUGCCUUAUGGAUCAGCAAUCUGACUGGCAUCAGCCUUUUCAAUAGCAAUACAAAAUGCCAGAAGACAACAGGGCAAUGCCCUCAAAAUUCUGAGAGAAAAUAUCUUGCUAAUAAAACAUCUAUUACACCUAGCAAGCAGCCAUCCCAAAGGCAGAAGGCUGUGAAAGAACAAAAGGGAGCUAUCUAGGGAGAAAAACAUAACUGUUAAUUAUUAUUAUAAUAAUAAUAUAUUUUUAGAGACAAGGUCUCUGUCAACCCAUGCUGAGGUG
rnacentral:lncRNA from 1 species